CCCGCACAAGCGGUGGAGCAUGUGGUUUAAUUCGAAGCAACGCGAAGAACCUUACCAGGUCUUGACAUCCCGAUGCUAUUUCUAGAGAUAGAAAGUUACUUCGGUACAUCGGUGACAGGUGGUGCAUGGUUGUCGUCAGCUCGUGUCGUGAGAUGUUGGGUUAAGUCCCGCAACGAGCGCAACCCCCGCCGUUAGUUGCCAGCGGUUCGGCCGGGCACUCUAACGGGACUGCCCGCGAAAGCGGGAGGAAGGAGGGGACGACGUCUGGUCAGCAUGGCCCUUACGGCCUGGGCGACACACGUGCUACAAUGCCCACUACAAAGCGAUGCCACCCGGCAACGGGGAGCUAAUCGCAAAAAGGUGGGCCCAGUUCGGAUUGGGGUCUGCAACCCGACCCCAUGAAGCCGGAAUCGCUAGUAAUCGCGGAUCAGCCAUGCCGCGGUGAAUACGUUCCCGGGCCUU
rnacentral:rRNA from 1 species